rnacentral:tRNA from 1 species
ACCUGGGUAGUUUAAGUAGAAUAUAACGUUGAAAGCGUUAAGGUGCUCUGCCCCAAGUG